CCUACGGGCGACAGCAGUGGGGGAUAUUGCACAAUGGGGGGAACCCUGAUGCAGCGACGCCGCGUGGGUGAAGAAGCGCCUCGGCGCGUAAAGCCCUGUCAGCAGGGAAGAAAAUGACGAUACCUGAAGCAGAAGCCCCGGCUAACUACGUGCCAGCAGCCGCGGUAAUACGUAGGGGGCAAGCGUUAUCCGGAUUUACUGGGUGUAAAGGGGGCGCAGACGGCGAUGCAAGCCAGGAGUGAAAGCCCGGGGCCCAACCCCGGGACUGCUCUUGGAACUGCGUGGCUGGAGUGCAGGAGGGGCAGGCGGAAUUCCUGGUGUAGCGGUGAAAUGCGUAGAUAUCAGGAGGAACACCGGUGGCGAAGGCGGCCUGCUGGACUGCAACUGACGUUGAGGCCCGAAAGCGUGGGGAGCAAACAGGAUUAGAUACCCUAGUAGUC
rnacentral:rRNA from 1 species